rnacentral:rRNA from 1 species
GGAUUAGAUACCCUGGUAGUCCACGCCGUAAACGAUGUCUAUUAGGAGUCUGUGGCUUUAAGUCGUGGGUUCCAAAGCUAACGCAUUAAAUAGACCGCCUGGGGAGUACGGCCGCAAGGUUAAAACUCAAAUGAAUUGACGGGGGCCCGCACAAGCGGUGGAGCAUGUGGUUUAAUUCGAUGCAACGCGAAGAACCUUACCUACUCUUGACAUCCAGCGAACUUGGCAGAGAUGCCUUGGUGCCUUCGGGAACGCUGAGACAGGUGCUGCAUGGCUGUCGUCAGCUCGUGCCG